rfam:Ailuropoda melanoleuca scaffold1544_15, whole genome shotgun sequence.
GCCUGGCUGGCUCAGUUGGUGGAGCAUGUGACUCUUGAUCUCAAGGUUGUAAGUUCAAACCCCAUGUUGGGUG